CAGCGCGCAACCCCGCUACACGUCAGAACCCGCCACCCUCACGGGCUGUGACGCGGCCGACGCCCGCCUGUGGACGGUCAGUGCGUUGCUGCCCCAGGAAGAGCCCUGUGGGCGAGCAGGACAUCCAUAUCGACUCCCUCGGCGACGGGACAAGCACACUCUCCUCUGAAACCCACUUGCUGGGCUUCACCACCCGGUAACAGAUCUCCGUACGCAGCACGCGCGUGGCUUGGCCCUUCCGAGCCACUAUCCCCAACCGUAGUAUGUGCCAUUCUCGCGAUAUGAAUGGCCGGAGCCCUAAGAGUUUGUCACUGACCCAAUUUCCGCUCCCUGAGAGGGGGCCCAGUGCCUCGCGGGCCGGGACAUUACCUGAGACAGGAGGCGCCUCCGCCAUCCCGUGCUGCAGCCUAAAGCGAGCCUCGCAGCAAAGCAAGCACUGUCACCCGGUCACGUGCCCCGGACUUCCGGCGCCACGAGAAUGUUCACAUCGGCGAGCAGAUUCGCUGCGCUCUCACGCCGCCAUGCCCUUCAUGCAACCAGGCCUUCCCUUGUCCCAUCCAGGAAAGAUUAAAAGGCUGACACCUUUAAAGAUCAGAAAAGAGCCAUCUCUGAGAGCUGCUACCCGGGAGGCUUCAGCUACAUAACAAGGCCAUCUUUCCUAGCCAAGCUUCUUUUCCCGUAACCUAUCUUGCCACUAAAAUCUGUUUGUGGCCAUGCUCGGAGCCCGCAUUCUUUCUGUGACCUCAAAAUCUUAUAUAAGUUUCUGUAUCCCAUUGGGGCUUGGGUAUUUAUUUUGAAGGCUCUCGUGUAUACACAUUAAAUAAAUUUGUAUGCCUUUUUUCCUGUUAA